AAUAUAAUUACAGUAUUUUAAUAUUUAGUUAUUUAAUUUGUUCUACUAGUUGGAUACAGAACACACACAUUCAAGAGGAGGAAAGCUGUCGGGCUAAGAGAAGUUUAUAGAAAAAUGGCUUUGGUGGGAUUUUUUAAAAAUGUGUGUUAUGUACAUAAAUAUAAAUAUAUAUAUAUAUAUGAAAUCAAAACAAUUAAUCUAGAUUUUAACAUUUUCAGAUACUUAGCACUAAUACUAUGAACAAUUCUAAAAGCCCUGUGAUUUGAUGAACAACAUGGGGUCACUAAUGGCCCAAGAAAGAAAGGACAGGCCUUGACACCCUCAUGGAGGGAGAUUUCACGCAAAGGACAGUGGCUUUGGCUUCCCCAGCUCUCCAUCUUUAGCCCUGGUGACAGGCACACUUAUGCACUAAAAUGCACAUAUAUGCACAUGUGUCCAGAAACAGGCAUGUGGUACAACAGUGACCUUGUACCCUACGGGCUGAAAGCAGCUUCGGAACAAACUUGUUCUCCCUGAUAAGCAGGUCUCCAGGAGAAACCGUGAAGGCUGCUUUAGUGCCUUAUGCUUCCUAAAUUUCAACCUUCCUUUCUAGGUUUCAGCCUCCAGUCUGUGAUACAUAUCAAAAUCGAACCCAACACUUCCAUUUUUAAACGCUCAAAUACACACGUGAAUAAAAGGAUUGUCAGCAUUAACGCUUCUCACCUGAAGAGCUUUGCUUUGCUUUCCUUCCUUUCAGUGUUGCCCACCCCUGAUUGUUUCUUUAGAAGGAUGCCGGUGUCCCUCCAUUGCAGAAACUGCUUUUGCACAGUAGGGAGCGGCCCUGCUGCCUCUGGACGCUUUGCAACAGUGUUACUUUACACUUUUGGAAAGCAGCGCCCUCCUGUGGCCCACGACCCUCAUUUCCCCAUACCCAAUGGCAGAGGUGUUCAAGACUUGAAUAGAGGAAUGUGUGUGUAGCCACUUGAAGCUUGCUCCACUGUCUGUCUAACCUGACAUGCUGUGGGAUGAACGCUCUUAAACUUUCCAGCCCAUAACUAGUAGAUGGAAAGCAAACCCUCGCUCACUAUGGCAUUUCCUCUGGCAGCUGGUGCUGUGGGCAACUGUCUUCUUUCCAUCAGGUUUUGGUUUUUGUUUUCUUUUCCCUUCUGCAGAAAUCACAGAGACACUCGCACUGGGCACUGGGCUCACAUCCCUUGGCUUCAUUGCUCAUCUGGCUGGCUGGCCCUCCGUGUUCGUGCCAUUCUCCUUACCAAUAUACACUAUGUAUAUACCUCCUGCGGCCUGCAUUCUUUUUCUAAGUACCUCACAGGGCUCCAGCCUGACCCUCUGUUCACCCCUCGCCCCUCCACCCACUGCUCAUCCACGUACUCGACACACUCGUGUGUAGCGUGCAAGUGUGAUGUCACGCUUUUGAAGACGAGAAGUAGCUGCCCGUAGCAGCCAGCCCUCUGGAGAAUAGCAAAACAAAUCUAGAUAAGUUAUUUUGCACUUUCUUAUGUAUAAAGGUGGUAGAAACUUAUUUUUGCUUUGUAUCAUUUAAAUACAUUUUGUUUUGGUAAACAGACUGUGUAUAAACUAUUUACGCGGUUGACGCUGUUUUUAGGAAGUAUUUUUCAUUUCAGCAAGUUUGGUUACUUGUUGCAUGAUCAUUAACACAGCUGACUUUUUGUGUCAGUGCCAUGUAUAUUUUUGUCCUGUUAUUAACUUGUAAGCCCUAGUAAUGGCCAAUUAUUUGUACAGCAACAGAAGUAAAUUGAAGAUACUGGCUAAGACUGGAUUGAUUGUGGACUUUUGUACUAUAUUGCAAAAUCCGAGAUCUGUUUCUCUGGUGGUUAUGUAAACGGCCUGAAGAAUUCCUAUCUAGUGUGCAAUCUGUGAUUCUGAGUGUUCAUUGUAUCUCUGUCUGAUGCAAAAAGGUAGACAGUUAACAAUCCAUGGUAAAUGCAAUAGUCCAGGUACUUAAGUAUUUUUUUCAUUUCAAAUAAAUACCUACUAUUUACCACAAAAU
rnacentral:lncRNA from 1 species